rnacentral:rRNA from 1 species
UACGAAGGGAGCUAGCGUUGUUCGGAAUCACUGGGCGUAAAGCGCACGUAGGCGGAUUUGUCAGUCAGGGGUGAAAUCCCGGGGCUCAACCUCGGAACUGCCUUUGAUACAGCAAGUCUUGAGUUCGAGAGAGGUGGGUGGAAUUCCUAGUGUAGAGGUGAAAUUCGUAGAUAUUAGGAAGAACACCGGUGGCGAAGGCGGCCCACUGGCUCGAUACUGACGCUGAGACGCGAAAGCGUGGGGAGCGAACGGG